rnacentral:rRNA from 1 species
GCGGUGGAGCAUGUGGUUUAAUUCGAUGCAACGCGAAGAACCUUACCUGGGCUUGACAUCCCGGGAAUCCCUUGGAAACAAGGGAGUGCCCUUCGGGGAACCUGGAGACAGGUGCUGCAUGGCUGUCGUCAGCUCGUGUCGUGAGAUGUAGGGUUAAGUCCCGCAACGAGCGCAACCCUUGUCUUUAAUUGCCAUCAUUGAGUUGGGCACUUUAAAGAGACUGCCGGUGUUAAACCGGAGGAAGGUGGGGAUGACGUCAAGUCCUCAUGGCCUUUAUGCCCAGGGCUACACACGUGCUACAAUGGGUGGUACAGAGGGUUGCAAUACCGCGAGGCGGAGCCAAUCCCAGAAAACCGAUCUCAGUCCGGAUCGCAGUCUGCAACUCGACUGCGUGAAGUCGGAAUCGCUAGUAAUCGCGGAUCAGCAUUGCCGCGGUGAAUACGUUCCCGGGCCUU